UCGCGAUGGCCUCCACCUCGCUGGUCUCCAGCUUGGUGGGGUCGUCGCAGCCGACGACGUAGUUGUGCAGCCCCACGGCGGCAACCUCCGGCACAACAGAGUUUACCGCGGCGGCCCCUGCGACGCUAGCUGCCCCGAGCACGGCCGCGCCCGCGACCGCUGCGGCCCGGGAGCCGCCGCCGAGGCGGAGCCCGAUGCCGUAGCCCGCCGCCACGGCAGCCGCGGCCACCGCGAGCUCCGCCGCCGUCCGAGCCGCGGGCGGCAGCGACUCCACGAGCGGCUGCACGCCGGUGAGCUCCUUCCGCCCCCCGAACACCUCCUCCCUCCGGCCCCCGAACACCUCCCCCCGGGCCGUCGCGUCGCUCUCGCCCUCCCCGUCACCAGACCCCGCCGCGCGGCGGAACUGGAACCGCUGGCUCCUGAGGCGGGCGAAGGGGGCGGCUCGCCGCGGCGGGAAGCGGAGGAGCGGGAAGGGUUUAAGCGGGGCGAAGAGGAGCGCGGAGGCGGCGGCACGCGGCGAGGGCGAGGGCUUCGCGGAGACGAGCGAGAGCUCCAUUGUA
rnacentral:lncRNA from 1 species